rnacentral:rRNA from 1 species
UUGAGCGGAGAUAUAUGGAGCUUGCUUUAUAUAACUUAGCAGCGAUUUGGUGAGUAACACGUAGAUAAUCUAUCCUAUACUGGGGGAUAGCCCGAUGAAAGUUGGAUUAAUACCGCAUAUAGCUAUAUAGUUGCAUGAUUAUGUAGUGAAAGAUUUAUUGGUAUAGGAGGAGUCUGCGGCACAUUAGCUAGUAGGUGAGGUAAAGGCUUACCUAGGCGACGAUGUGUAGCCGGUCUGAGAGGAUGAACGGCCACAAUGGAACUGAGACACGGUCCAUACUCCUACGGGAGGCAGCAGUGGGGAAUAUUGCACAAUGGGGGAAACCCUGAUGCAGCAACGCCGCGUGAGUGAAGAAGGUUUUCGGAUUGUAAAGCUCUGUUAGCAGGGAAGAGGAAGGACGGUACCUGCAGAGGAAGCCACGGCUAACUACGUGCCAGCAGCCGCGGUAAUACGUAGGUGGCAAGCGUUGUCCGGAAUAACUGGGCGUAAAGGAUGCGUAGGCGGUUAAACAAGUUAUAUGUUAAAUAUAUAGGCUUAACCUGUAGAAAGCAUAUAAAACUGUUUAACUAGAGUGCAGGAGAGGUAAGUGGAAUUCCUAGUGUAGCGGUGAAAUGCGUAGAGAUUAGGAAGAACACCAGUGGCGAAGGCGACUUACUGGACUGUAACUGACGCUGAGGCAUGAGAGCAUGGGGAGCAAACAGGAUUAGAUACCCUGGUAGU